rnacentral:rRNA from 1 species
AUUGAACGCUGGCGGCAGGCCCAACACAUGCAAGUCGAACGGUAACAGGAAGCAGCUUGCUGCUUUGCUGACGAGUGGCGGACGGGUGAGUAAUGUCUGGGAAACUGCCCGAUGGAGGGGGAUAACUACUGGAAACGGUAGCUAAUACCGCAUAACGUCGCAAGACCAAAGAGGGGGACCUUAGGGCCUCUUGCCAUCGGAUGUGCCCAGAUGGGAUUAGCUAGUAGGUGGGGUAACGGCUCACCUAGGCGACGAUCCCUAGCUGGUCUGAGAGGAUGACCAGCCACACUGGAACUGAGACACGGUCCAGACUCCUACGGGAGGCAGCAGUGGGGAAUAUUGCACAAUGGGCGCAAGCCUGAUGCAGCCAUGCCGCGUGUAUGAAGAAGGCCUUCGGGUUGUAAAGUACUUUCAGCGGGGAGGAAGGGAGUAAAGUUAAUACCUUUGCUCAUUGACGUUACCCGCAGAAGAAGCACCGGCUAACUCCGUG